CAACGGAUCUCUUGGUUCUGGCAUCGAUGAAGAACGCAGCGAAAUGCGAUAAGUAAUGUGAAUUGCAGAAUUCAGUGAAUCAUCGAAUCUUUGAACGCACAUUGCGCCCGCCAGUAUUCUGGCGGGCAUGCCUGUUCGAGCGUCAUUU
rnacentral:rRNA from 1 species